CAACAACAAAUUUUUGGGUAUCUCCGUGCAGUAAUGCAGUAUGGCGUACAUCUCUUACGGAAAGAGAAUGGUAAGUCUUUCAAAAUACAUAUUCAACGUUUUAUUGUUUAUUAUCAUGACUUUUGGACAGUAGUAUAAAUCGUCCACCCUUUGGAUGAAAAGCAAAUGAGUUAUCCGGAUUUUGUUCAUCCGAAACUAAAUCACUAGUAUCAACAUCCGGUAUAAUUUUGGGGUCCAAUUUUGGCUUGUAUUUUGGAGAAACUCGAUUGAUUUCUAGCAAAUUUGGUCUACCACUACAUCGUCGCUUUUUAUAAUUUGGUAUGUUCCAAUCUAAAUAGGCAUUUGCACCCUUAACAUCUCAGAUUUUAAUAAAUAAAAGACCAAAGGAUACAAAUGCCUUACAUUUUGUUUGUCACUGUCAUUAGUCAUUAGUCAUUCUCAUCACCGAUGAAUUGCAGAACAGAACGAACACUAUCACCCAUUCGUAUUGUGGCUUUUUGCAUGUGUGUUAAAUUCUCAUAUUUGAUAAUAAAUGAAACAAUAAAAUAUUUCCCACCCCUUAUUCUGCCACAGUUAUGCACCAGUCAGUUGUAACCACUGCCCCCAGGUGUGGGUUAUGGGGGGUUAGCAGGGGAAUUGGGCCAUGUUUUUAUCUUCCAGGUGGACCGGCAGUGCCGAGUGAAUGCGGUGGGAUUGUUUCUGCGUCGAAAACGGUGAGUGGGCCUAACCUAGGAUGUCCCCAGGUAGCUACAAUAAUGAGCGAUCAGGGAUACUCUUUCUAUUAUUUUGACAGUUGUUAUGUAUCCCUGUAACGCUACAACUCUCCACCAUUUAACAACGGGUGAAAUGUUAUACUGCAAUAAUAUGCAUUGAUGUUGAAUAAUAAUGACAAAGUUGUUCAAUUUUUAUCCGACAGUGACCUGAACUGGAUUAAAUUUGUCAUAAGAGUUGUUAUUUUCACAUUAAUAUAUUAUGGGUCACGAAUACCAUUAUACAUGUACACAACCAGUCAGAUUUGUCCCAGAUUUACCAAUAUCGGGAUUAUAUUUCUAUUGAAGAAUGAACUGUGUGUUCCCGCUUUGUGAACAAAAACGCAAGGCGGCUAUGGAAAGUUGCGUCAAGAUAUCCUUGGGACCCCCCCCCCCCUCGGACACACAAUGCAAUGUGUUUCGCUGAUCUCCGGGAUUUAGAUAUGUUAUCCAAGCCAUAAUUGUACUCAAUACUAGGCUUUGUUUUAGUGCGAACAUCAACAUAUUUUUCUAAUUGCAGUUGCUGCUUGGGACAAUAAAGUUAAGUCAGCAACCGUCUACCGGACUGCAAGAUUCAUCUCUUCCAAAGGAUGUCAUACCUUUCCAGAUACACUGUGUUGCGUGUGGAAAUGCCGAGUGGUAUCACCAGUCACCUAAGCCACCUAACUGACCAAAGACUCCUGGAGACAGUCCCUGCAGUUAACAGCAAAGCUCUUUAUUGCAACCCUACAAACUUCAGAUACUGCCGAAGGCGUAGCUUGGGUGCACCGGGCCUGUUUUCCAGCUGUGUGGAAUUAACAUCUCCAGCUGAACUGGGGCCGGGAAUUAAAUAAGACUCCUCAGCAGCACGAGUGCCAGCCAGUCGUUGCCAUUCCUUACAUUGCUGAGGAGGACAGUCCUGCCAAGUAACAGUUCGUUCAAUAACAGGUAAAGAACGGAUCGAUGAUUUUCUGGAUAUGGACAAGACCCACUCCCUGCAGGGAUUAAACAGAAUAAAGCAGUAUUGAAAAACAAGAGCAAAACUUUUUAAUGAAAACAAAACACUUUCGUUAGAAAGCACAGAAGAAAAAAGCAGCAAUGACGAUACACUGAAGUGAUUGGAGUGUCACCACGAUAUGAUACCAUAAAGAAAGUCAUCAAGUCUGUCGGUUUGGCAGGUGGUCUGUGCAAAAGUGCAAAAAAUUUGUGCCGCAAACCAAAAUACUUAGACUAAAGUUUUCAAGAUACUGUCUUUGAACUUUAAAUAUAAGUUCGCAUGAAGUGAAGAUGUAUUUGACAUAUUUAUGAUAUGGAUCAGUCCAAUAUUUGUUAGACGUGGGAAAGAUUCGUAAAUAUUUCAAGAUGCAAACAAGUAAGGCCUAAAAAAAAAAUACAUUUGGUUCGGGUUACCCGACCCUACCUACGGAAUAGGCGCCGACCCUACCGUUUUUAUAGUCAGUUUAAAAAAAAAAAUGAAAAACUAAAAAAAAAAAAAAAAAAAAAAUAUUUCUUUUUUUUUAAUUGCUUUUUAAUAUUAAGUUUAAACCUUAAAUGCUUGUACAGAAGAUAGCUUUAACACCAUUCUCCAAUGAUGAAAAUUAUAUUCUUAUACAAAACCUAAUAAAAAAAAAAUAAAAAAAAAUAAAAAGCCUACCUACCCUACCUAUUUUUUUUAAGGAUGUAACCCUAACCAAACAAUUUUUUUUUAGGCCUAAUCAUUUUCAAGACAAUAAUUAAUUAUAAAUAUUUAAAAGAUACAUACUGUGGAAGAACUUUUUAUACAUUAUUAUUCACAUUAGAUAAGAAAAAUCUGGAGUCAGUUUGAUCUGUACCUAGCAAGCUAUAAUAUGCAAAUAAAGUAACUUUAUUAUUCAUAUAAAUUUAGUCUGAUGCCUUGAUUAACAAGUGUGAAAUAAAUAGCACAACAGCUACCUAUUUGUUUGACUGACCACUGUGCACACACUGUGAUAUAAUGCCAUGGAUAUUAAAGUGAACAUUAAAGCUGCACUCUCACAAAUUGGCAGUUUUGACUUUUUUUUAUUUUUUGUCUCAGAAUCUAUAUAAUCAUAUAAUGAUAACACAACUUUGGUCUUUCCAGAAUUAGUGUGUCACUUUGUAGGUAAAUACACAUGCAAGUAUAAAACUGACAGGAAGUUUUGGAUAUUUGCACAGUAACCACAACAUUAUGUCAUACAUGUUGUAUUCAUCAAAAGCUAAUGUAGCUUUAAAAUCUGUGUGUAAUUUUCCACCAUUCUGUUAACUACAUGCUGCAUUGUUGCUACAGUUAUAGUGAAUUUUCCAUACAAAUUGAGAUCGAGUUUCAAAGAGACAAUACAUAAAUCAGUCAACAAUUCAUUAAAUGGAGAUUUUUUUUGCAUUGAUGAGAUAUUGUUGCACCCAGAUCUAGAAUAUUGGAGCCUUAGGCCAUAAUAAUACAAAAACCUUGUCAUAAACACAAACAUCAUUCAAUAUAAUAAUUAUUUUAAGAUAUUUGGUAACAUGAGUGCUUAAUUAUAACAUUGUGUCAAAGUUUGUGAAUGUUUGUUUUUUGGCUGUUCAGUAAAUAUUUCUAAAUAAAUUCCGGUGUUUAUUAUCUUCUAAAA